CACAAUCUAGACUGUUGUCCAACAUUACCAGGCAAUUCAAUGCAACUUUUGUAAGCAGUUAUAAACGAUUUUCAAUGCAUCCAUUGAGCCUUGUUUAGCCCAUGUAAUAAUUCCCUAACAUACAAUACAGUUGUUUUGUAAAUAUAGAGAAAGACAAUUGAAUUUUAUCGUGAUUUAAACAAAAUGUACAACCACACCAUGUGAAUAAAUAGGGAUAUUUUAAUGCUUCAGUGUAGCUAGCUAUAGAGAGCUUUGAAUAAGGCUCACCGUGAAUAAUUCUAUGGAGACGCAUUGUAAAAGGUUUGAUUUCAAUGCCGAUAUUCAGAAGAGCGCCUUUCUGGCCAACAAUUCCGCACAGUUACGAGUUGGAUAGCGCUGGGGUGUAGACGUUUUAGAAGAAACGCGGUAAAUAAGUGACAUUUUUAGCUAAAUUUGACGAAAACUGUCGGGAUAUUCUAUUCGAAUGGUGCAGGAGUUUUGACCAAAAGUUUCUGAGACAUUAUCAGGAUGAGACAUUUGACUGCGAGACAUCAGCAUGCUGGAAGGGUGGAUCUUAUAUCGUAGGCCCCGUUGUCAUAGCGACGCCAAGCGUUACCAAGGUAACAUACAAGUAUCAGUCAGGGUUUUCUUGACCCCUUUGAAUAAGACGCUGUCUUCGUGGAAAUGAAAUUCUAUAAGAUUUGUUUCAUAUCGCUCGAAUGGACUAGCCCUUUUUUCAUGAGCAUGACUCUAGCCAAAACGAUAGAAACUGAUUACUGAAAGUAUCAACAAUUUUGUUAACCCAGGGGUUAUUUUUCACAAGUUUCUUAAGACAGUGUCGACUUCAAGGGGUCAACUUUCAUAAAUAGGCUGAUGAUACAUGUAUAACCGCCUCAAGAAAGUUUAUGACAUCCGUUUUUUAUGUACCAUCAACGAUUAAUAGCUGAAAAAAAUAUUGAAAACCUAAAAUUC